CACGUAGGGUGCGAGCGUUGUCCGGAAUUAUUGGGCGUAAAGAGCUCGUAGGCGGUGUGUCGCGUCGGCCGUGAAAACCUGCAGCUUAACUGUGGGCUUGCGGUCGAUACGGGCAUCACUGGAGUUCGGCAGGGGAGACUGGAAUUCCUGGUGUAGCGGUGAAAUGCGCAGAUAUCAGGAGGAACACCGGUGGCGAAGGCGGGUCUCUGGGCCGAUACUGACGCUGAGGCGCGACAGCGUGGGGAGCAAACAGG
rnacentral:rRNA from 1 species